UACGGAGGGUGCGAGCGUUAAUCGGAAUUACUGGGCGUAAAGCGUGCGUAGGUGGUUAAUUAAGUUAUCUGUGAAAUCCCCGGGCUCAACCUGGGAACUGCAUCUGUGACUGCAUAGCUAGAGUACGGUAGAGGGGGAUGGAAUUCCGCGUGUAGCAGUGAAAUGCGUAGAUAUGCGGAGGAACACCGAUGGCGAAGGCAAUCCCCUGGACCUGUACUGACGCUCAUGCACGAAAGCGUGGGGAGCAAACAGG
rnacentral:rRNA from 1 species